UAUGAAAAAUUCUGAUUUUUUUGGUAUAAAGUGUAUCUACAUAUAAGUUUAUAUAUAUAUAUAACAAGUCUAUAUGUAUAAUAAUCUUAUGCACUUUUACUGACCCUGUCUUUAUGAAAAGUUCGGACUUUUUUUGGUAUGAAGUGUACCUACAUAUAAGUUUAUAUAUAUAAAUAAAUGUAUAAAUAUAUCAUAUAUAUAUAUAACAAGUCUGUACGUAUAAUAAUCUUACAUAUUAGGUUUAUAUGUAAUCUAUAUAAAGUUCGUAUAUAAAAUAUAAAGUUUACAUACCUAAGUUCAUACACAAUAAGUUUAUAACAUACUACAUAUAGUAUAUGUAAUAUAUAUACACAUAUAUUCCCUUACACCAAGAGUAAAGCAGAGGCUCUUGGGUCACCGAAUAUCUGUGUGAUUCUCUACAUUUUCCAGUGCUCUGGCAGUUAGGAUAGGAUGAAAUUAAUUCUGGCCAAUGAAAUGGGAGUAGAUUUAGUGGGAAUUAUUUCCGGGUCAAGAGGUGAGGAGUUGGUAUUCUCCCUCAGCUUUCUUUUCCUCUGCUGCUCUGAUCUUAGAGACCAUGUGUUCCGGAUGGUGCACAGUAAGAAAGGGGAGGACAGCUUGUGUCAGACUUGAUUGAUGUGGGUCAGGCCACUGAGAUUUUGAUAAUUAGUUGUUACCGCAGCAUCACCUUGCCUAUAAAAAAAUAACCUCAUUGAAACAUUACUUAUGGUGAUAACUGGGUUUUUUGGCACUCCCUUGAAUUUUAACCCAGGGCAGAGACUGCAUUUGCCUCCCUCUGGUGCGGCCCUGACCUUCUGAUGGAUGGAAGGGUGAGAAACGGAGGCCGACCAGGACUGAGGGGUGCGGGGGGACCCACCUUGCGGGCUCCAGGGGCAUGACUCGAGUCCUGUCCCAGCACUGCCGCUGGUCUACUAUUGGCACCGUGAGCAUGUCACUUCCUCCCCCAUCUGUGAGAGAAUCUUUGGAAGAUUGCUAAGGCCCCUUUAACGGACUCUUGUAUUUUGUCUUGAUUGUAUAUUUUGUACAUCUUUGUUGAUUUUAUUGCCUCGGUCAUCGCUUUUUUAUUUAACUUUUCGGAAGUAUCAUUGCCCGGUGAAUUGAAAAUUAAAGACGGGGGGCACCUGGGUGGCUCAGUCCGUUGAGCGUCCAGCUUGGGCUCCGGUAAUGAUCUCGCGGUUACAGGGUUUGAGCUCCGCACUGGGCUCCAAGCUCACAGUGUGGAGCCUGCUUGGGAGUCUCUCUCUCUCUCUCUCUCUCUCUCUCUCUCUCUCUCUCUCUCUAUCCCUCCCUCGCUCUCACUUUCUCUCUCUUAAAAUAAAUAAACUUAGCAAAAUAAUUUUUAAAAAUUAAAAACAAGUAAACAAAAAGACCUCUGGUCCUUCCCCGCAGAUGGUUCAGGACAGUGCUUCUCAGAGAACAGGAGCUUAUUGGAGAUGUUUCCAUUGGGGGCAUCAUCUGUCCAGGCUGAUAAUAAUGAGAGGUGCUGAAGCUACUAUGUGCCCGUGCUGGGGCGUCUUAUACGUUUUAGUACAUCUACGGGAGAAGAUGUUAUUAACCCCAUUUCCCACCACACAUGAUGGCUGUACCACAAUUUUUUCUAUGAAAAUCCCCUAGGAGAACCCUCAGAGACAUCUUACGGAGGAGGGAAACUGAGACCAGCUGUCGGAGCGGGCUUUGAUAUCCAUUUAACUUCUGUCCAUUGAUUUUAAUUUGCAGGGCCCUCUGGAAAGAGACAAAAAAGCGUGCCACCCCCACCCAAGCCACCCCCUUUAUUUUUGUUUCGGAUGGCUCUCCAUCCAUAAUGCCGGCCAACCGUAGGUCGUCCUGCUCACGCAACCCGAGAAGUACUUUGGAUGAAGAUAAAGGUAAACUCUGUGGCAAUAUUCUCCCAAAGAACAGGCUUGCUGUUCCCUUUUUUUUCCCCUAGAGAAUAGCUUGGUGUCUUGACCGGCUCUGUGCCUAAACGCACACUCAGCAGUUCUAAAGAAUGACAGAUUCAGCAAGCAGGGUGCGUGUGGCCCGCAGCGCUGGGCCGCCGAGAGGCGUCUGUUGGCUACAUAAGAGAAUAGGUAAUCCCGGCAAUUAUGUUCCCUUCCUUGACUAAGGGUAGUAGUCACGUAAACAGCAUUAGUUGGGAAUCAAGUCUUUGGUUCUGCCAGUGGCUGCUUUCAUAACUGCCUUACGGCAUGGCCGUGUGACUUUUGUCCUGGUGAUCCAGCGUUUCCUCCUAUCCAGGGAAUGGGUUUGGGCUCCCUGGGCUGCAGUUCUGAGCUUCGGACACGCUAGAGGCAUACAGAUUAACCCAGGGAAACGCAGAAUACCACCGUUAUCUGAAUAUGGCUUGUGGCCGAUUUGUGACCUGUCACUCACCUAUCUGGGGCAUGAUUAAAUAAUGCAAAUUCAGUAUAGUAAUUUCCCCGAGCAAACAACAUGACUUCGGUAAUUACACCAGCCCCAAAGUUCAUACAUUGCAGUACAAAUAGGAACAUUAACUUGCACGAGGGGGUGCUUAGCAGCACCCAGUGUGAACCACUGGUCUGUGGGACUUGCGGCUGAGGUCCAGACCCGGCCUCUAGAAGCCUGUUAUGAACAAGGCUCCAGAAAAAAAAAAUAAUAUUGACAGUCCCUUGGGAUUUGGAGUGUUCAAGAGUAGAGCUCGUGCCCUGGGUUUUCAGGUGUGUGCCGACCUUGGCCUCCUGACAUCCAACCCUUAAUGCCGGUGUACGAUUUCCAGCCUGACUCUCAGAGAAAGCUGUGUCCCUCCCAGAGGGCCCGAGCACACCUGGAAUUAAAGUGCGCACACUUUCCAGGGCCUAUCCCCGUCUUUGUACCUUAGCACUUUAUGCUCGUUUCAAGGGCUCUGGAUGUGCCGGGAGGCUGUCAAGGACCUAGUGGUUUUGGACCACCCUUCUGUGCCCUGGGGGCCAAAAAGAUAUUUUAUGAGAUGUUCCUAACGAUAACUCCAAAGAGCUGCAUGAGGUCUGGGGAGAGGACGCGGAGAGAGAAACUUCCCAAGUAAACCUCCAUGCCGUGGACCUGCGAAAGGUCAUUUUGAAUCGUUGCGACACAUACUCCCAACGCACCAUUGCGCAAAAGGCCUUACCUUGUUUCGUUUUGUUUUCUGUCCCUACUCACUGUAGCGUUUUACCCUCUAGGUGGAAAAAGGUAAGGCACGAUUACAAAGUCCAUUGUUCUUUGGGCAGCCUGGGAGAACAUUUUGCUGUCCUUGCAGCUUACUCACACGGGAUGCAAGGGAGUUCCCAGAACCUCGUGGACGGCGAUGCAGGGUUUCUGGGGACAACGUGAAGUGCGGGGCUGCGUGGAGGGCUCAGUGCUGAUACAGAGCACACGCGGAGACGCCGUGCUCACUCGGUCAGCACCGAGCCCGGCACGCUGUCCACGGUCCUCUGGCUACAAUGCGAGGACGGCUGGAGCUUCAAGAGUCUUGGUUGGAUCGUUGCUUCCAAAUCUUUUCUUUACCUUUGCAGCCUUAAGAAACUGAUGCAAUUCGUUCACCGAGAAGGGAGACAGCUAGAGAAUUCUGUCAUUCUGACCACGCCCUCAUAAGAGACUGGUUUUUCAGCUUGUUGGGAGAGGUGUUCUCUUGCAGGGGGUGUGCUUUUGUGUGAUCAUUUGCCUCUGCCCUGGGAUCCGUUCUCUGUCCCGCCCGGCUCUGUGUUGCCCGGAACCUUGGUCCCCAGAUCCUUUGCCAACUGAUCCCACUCCCUGUCUGGCCAGGUUUGGCCACUGGGAGGCAGUGGGGGAGACUGGAAUGUGGGAGCACGAGGGAGGCCACAGUUCUUCUUGCCUUGUUUUGCUUUAGGGAGCGUUUCUUUCCUCUGUGGCUCCAGCGCCACUGGCCAGACCCUCCCUCAGGGGCCUGGCUGCUGCCAGGCCGCCCUGACCAUGGCCCAAGGGCCCAGUGGACAUCGGAGCGGAAAUCUGAGGGACACGAGCGAGGGAACAAGGCGGGCAGCUGUGGGGGAGGAUCCCAGGACAGGUCAGGAGGGCAGUGGCUGGGGGUGGCGGGGGGACAGGUGGGGCUUCAUCUGAGUGACAUGGGAUGCUGUUGGAGGUCAACCAGAAUGGCGUGGUCUGCCUCCCAUCCUGAAGGACUGGCCUGGUGGCUCUGUGAAGUGCUUAGAGGGUAAAGUGAAGGAACCAGCUGUCACUCAUCUAAGCAAGAGACACCGUGGCUCAGACCACAACGGGGGAGGCGGGGUAGUGAGAAGUAGCAGCUUCCGAUUCUGUAUUCUGAAGACAGAAUCCCCAGAAUUUGCUGAGAGAUGGGGCAUAGAGUCUGAGAGAAAGAAACGGGUGACAUAUGGCUGUGAUAGUUUGGGCCCAAGCAAGUGGAAUGAUCCUAUUUCCUAGCAGGGGAGAGGCUGGGGGGACAGGGAGUCUCCUUUUGGCUGCAGUAAGUCCGAGGUUCCUGUGGGAUACCGGAGGGAAAAUACCAGAGCCACGGGGAGACAUCUGGCCGGUGACAUCCUCCCAUCGGGCAUUUCAGGCUGGAAGUGGAAGAGAUCCGGGCAUGAGUGUAGACAGUAAAGAGGUCAGGGUCGCUCCCCCAUGACCCUCUGCCAGUUAGAAGUUAGGGACACGAACCUCCAUGAAUGAUGAAGAACUGAGAGAGGAUCUGGCGGCCAGGAGACAGAAGGGCGUCAAGGAAGGUGCACUGUAAGCAACAGGACUGGGAGGUGACCAUGGGGUUCGGCCACCGCAGCCCAUAGCAGCGGCCUCCUGGGGAGGGCUCAUGGGAGACAGGGUCGUGGCCGUGGCUCAUGCUGCACAGCUGGAUCCAGGAGCUCCACACUGAACAGGGAGCAGAGAUGGGUGGUGGGGAGAGCAAUGUGGGUCAGGACAGGUUGGAUUUUUUUUAAAUGUUUGUUUAUUUAUUGAGAGGAGGGAGGGGCAGAGAGAGGGAGAGAGGAUCCCAAGCAGGCUCCGUGCUGGCAGCACAGGAGAGGCGGGUGUUUAAGGAGCAGGAUGUUCCAGCAAGAUGGAGUGCUUAAUCCCUGGUGCGGAAGAGAGAAGGAAAACGGUGGGAGCGGAUCCCUGAAGCAGGGAAAAGGGGUGAGGUGUGCCAGCCGAGCGCUCAGCCUACGUGGGCUGGGGGACGGUCCCUUGUGGGACGGGGAGCGGGGUGCAUGGAGAAAGGGGCAGGGAGCUGGGGGUGGGUGGCGGGUCUGGUUUGUUCAGGAACAGGAAGCGGUGGCGCCCCGGAUGUAGGAGGAGUCGGGGGCGUUGAGGACAGAGGGGCCGCAGGGGACAUCCCGCUAAUGAUGGAAAUGCAGGCUGCCUCCGGGGCUGCAAGGCCCGUGCGCACGUCAUGUCACACACUGUGGUGUCGCGAGGGACACACGCUCAGACGCACCGUUGCUGGAACCAAGCCCGCGUGCACCGUCCCCGCAGUAGGCCAGCAGUCUGUCCCUAGAUGGAUGGCGGGGACUCCCGCCAACCGAGGGCCUGUCCCGUUGGGCUCACCGACAGAGUGAGUAGCUUUUCCUGCCUCUUGAUGUUUGCUAAUCUGUUAGGUGAAAGCAGCACCUCUUACGUUUAGUACUUCAUUGUCUCGUUCGCGCAUUGGUAUUUCCUGUCAGUUACCUUCCGGUGAACCAUCUGUCUGUGCGUUGGGCCCUUUCUCUGCUGGCCGUAGGCUUUCUCUUAUCUGCGGACAGGGGCUCUUUGUAUACUGACAAAAUUAGCCCCUCGUCGGGGUGGUGGGUUGGAAGUAUUUCUUCCCAGUCUGUCUCUUGCCUUCCCUUAUCUUGCUUUUUUUUUUUUUCCAUGCAGGAUUUUCCCCCUUUCCUGUGGUUUGUUUUAUUGAUUUAUUUUUAUGGCUGCUGAGGUUUUCUGUCACGUACAGAGAAGUGCGGUGGGCAGGGCAUGGGCUCUGGACUCAGACCUACCCUUGCCACUCCCGGGCGGCGCACGUUGCAUAACCACUUGGUCAACGCGGGCUGUUACAGCCUGAACCCCCUUGCCCCUUGGCCAACCUCUUUGCUGUGGUCAGGUAGCCCUGGCCCUCAUGACCAGCAGCCUCCCAGAGGACCUACAGGACUAUGGCAUUUAUUCCCAAGCCCGUUCUGAAUAUCUGUGGGAAUGGGAGGUUCCGAUGAGGUAAGACCCACCCUCCAUGUGGGUGGGCAUCCUCCUGACUCCACACGGUGUUUGUGGGGUAUGAGGGCCGUUUUCAGAGGCUCAACUCAAGCAGAGGCAUCGGAUAUUCUUGUCCCUCUGGGGAUUCGGACGAGUGUCUCUGAUGGGAUUGGAGUGCAUAAAUCUUCUCCCAUAGGAAAAGAACUUUGCCCUUUGUAACUGAAGAAAGCCUGCUUAAGCUUACUAAUGACUGGGAUUAUCAAGGUCCACUGGUAAUUUUUCAAGUUACCUGAGCAAGAAAAAAACAGUGAUUACAGAAGCCCGGACCCAGCAUCAUCAAGCGCACGUGGGUCAUUUACUUUGACAGGCAUAAUUCAGUCCUUUUUAUUCCUGGUCACACUCCCAUGGCACUGUAACCAGAUACCCCCGGGCUAGGAGGUGGGCUGCUCCUUCAGCGAAGGAAAGGUUGUUGGCUUGAUAGAAAUGGUCAGAUAUCUGAUUCAGAGAAUUACCAAGAUCUGAUGGAAAAGAGGCCACUUUCCUUUUGGUUUAUUUUUCCUCAAUUUUUUUUUUUAAUCCUAGCAUCUCUUUGUGUUUUUAAGUCCAGAUGCACAAAGUGGCUACUCUUCGGGCGACCAGAGAUCACAAAAUGCCCUGCCUCAUAUUCUUCCUCUGUUCCGCUUUCGCGGAGAGCAAGCCCGCAAAAAACAGCGUUGGAAUAGCCCGUUGGGAAGAUCUGCAUCUGUUCUCACGAUGUUCCUAUUGCUCGAGAUAUUUUGGAACUCCUUUUAAACGUUUUUGAACGUUGAGGGCCCCUUGUGAGCUGUGAAGAGCAGAAUUACCGAUGUCACCACGGAAUACUUGUGCAAGUACCGAGCAAAACCGUCCGCACUGGAGAGGCACAUAAAAGAUCCCGUGAAAACGUUUGCCGACGGCAGGGUGAAAUUCCCACGUCAGCCUCUGUCCACAUCUCACCUGCCAGUCGGUGUGGCUCUGAUCGACCCUGGUUAAUGAAAACUGGGGUCAGUUUCAGGCUGAAUUGCUUGCGCCCCAGGGAUUGCCCAGUGCAUCUCUCUCUUCCUUUUUAAACAAAGAACCAGUAACUUCA